AACGAACGCUGGCGGCAGGCCUAACACAUGCAAGUCGAACGAGUAAGGGCCGUAGCAAUACGGAGUUCUGCUAGUGGCGCACGGGUGAGUAACGCGUGGGAACGUGCCUUGGAGUUCGGGAUAACAGUUGGAAACGACUGCUAAUACCGAAUAUUCCCUCAGGGGGAAAGAUUUAUCGCUCCAAGAUCGGCCCGCGUAAGAUUAGGUAGUUGGUGGGGUAAUGGCCUACCAAGCCUACGAUCUUUAGCUGGUCUGAGAGGACGACCAGCCACACUGGAACUGAGACACGGCCCAGACUCCUACGGAGGCAGCAGUGGGGAAUAUUGGACAAUGGGCGAAAGCCUGAUCCAGCCAUGCCGCGUGAAUGAUGAAGGCCUAGGUUGUAAAAUCUUUUGCAGGGAAGAUAAUGACGGUACCCUGCG
rnacentral:rRNA from 1 species